ACACGUAGGGAGCAAGCGUUGUCCGGAUUUAUUGGGCGUAAAGAGCUCGUAGGCGGUUUUGUAAGUCGGAUGUGAAAACUCAGGGCUCAACCCUGAGACGCCAUCCGAUACUGCAAUGACUAGAGUCCGGUAGGGGAGCAUGGAAUUCCUGGUGUAGCGGUGGAAUGCGCAGAUAUCAGGAGGAACACCAGUGGCGAAGGCGGUGCUCUGGGCCGGUACUGACGCUGAGGAGCGAAAGCAUGGGGAGCAAACAGGAGUAGAAACCCCAGUAGUCC
rnacentral:rRNA from 1 species